rnacentral:rRNA from 1 species
UUCGCAAUGCCCGAAAGGGUGACGAAGCGACGCCGCGUGGGUGAAGAAGGCCUUCGGGUUGUAAAGCCCUGUCAGGAGUUAUGAAAUGUAGGUGCGAUAAUACCGUGCCUAUUUGACAAAGGCUCCAAAGGAAGCCACGGCUAACUCUGUGCCAGCAGCCGCGGUAAUACAGAGGUGGCAAGCGUUGUUCGGAAUUAUUGGGCGUAAAGAGCACGUAGGUGGGUUUGUAAGUCAGAUGUGAAAGCCUUCUGUUCAACGGAAGAAUUGCAUCUGAAACUGCGAGUCUUGAGUGUAGGAGGGGAGAAUGGAACUUCUGGUGGAGCGGUGAAAUGCGUAGAUAUCAGAAGGAACGCCGGCGGCGAAAGCGAUUCUCUGGCCUAUUACUGACACUGAGUGUGCGAAAGCUAGGGGAGCAAACGGGAUUAGAUACCCCGGUAGUCCUAGCCGUAAACGAUGGGCACUAAGUAGAGGGGUUUU